rnacentral:lncRNA from 1 species
GGCCUCCCGCCCGGCAGCGGCAGUGGGACCCCGUCCCUCUCGGGCCCGCCGUGCCCGGAGCCCGGCUCGGGCUGCAGCCCCCCGGGACCCGGGAGCGCGGCCGAGGAAACCCCAUUUGGACAUCAGAGCGUCUAUUCAGUUCUUCCUGAGUCUUGAAUUGGGAGCUAACAAGACUUUCCAAGGCCUGAAAGGGAAAUUCAAGAAUUUUGAUUAAAAGAGCCCUUCUUGCAGUACCUAGUGAAAGAAGACAGACCAUUACACCAGGGCCAUGAUACUGAUGAUUGUAUGUAUGGACCUUUUCUUGUGAAAUUUAAACUCAGCCUUGUAUUAUACUGCCUAAGAGUUACCUCCUGAAAGCCUCCUUGUUGCUCAAAUUGGCCUCUCUCUAAGCCAAACUCAGCAUAAAAAUGCAGCCCCCCACCCCAGUGUGGACAUGACUCCUGGGGAUGAACCUCCCUGACACCAAGAGAUUAUUAACAAGCACCAACUAGCAAUGCAUCUGGAAAAAGAUCUUGACCAUAAGGGGAA